CGACCCAUUCUACUUUUUCUUUUACCCAACUCCUUUUGAUUGAACCCAUGUUUGCCCCUUAGAACUCCUGGAUGGAUCCGUCACUUGCCUCCGCUUGCACCAAUUCACAGCAACUUAGAGAUCUGCCCUUAUCAAAUGAGAAACGGGAUGUAACAUCAACUACAACGUUAUCACUUAACAAGGAUGUUAGGUAUGGCUCAGAUGGGGGAUUUGCAGCUUGGUGAGUGUCAUGGCUUUUGGGUUAAACUAUUUUCAUUAUUAUGCUUAACAAUUGUGGCUUUCCAUUAUGUCUCAAUUUUAUACUUUUGCUUCUGCUGAAAGCUAUAUGUUUUUAAACUUUAAAAAUGACAUCACUAUUCAUGUUGAAUGUGGUAGUUAAAUGUUUUACAAUUAAUAUGAAAUAGUGCAACAUAAUUAGUGGCUUGAUCCUGGUAUGUCACGUGCCUUGCGGUAAAACCCCGCAAGUAGAAUUUGAGGAUGUGACACGCGACCCCUAAGAAUUUAUUACACCGAUCCCAUCAUCAUCGUGAUUGACACACAGCAAGGACAAUGAGGUUUAACGGUGGCAUAUGAAGAGAUUCCUACGAGAAUUUGCAAAAGAAAGGGGUGAUUUGGAACAAACACUUAUCUUGAUAAAAAAAAAAAAAAAAAAAAAAAAAAAAAAAAAAAACCCUUGAGUUUAUAU